rnacentral:misc_RNA from 1 species
ACCCAAAUCCAAAAUGGGAGACUUGAUUGGCGCAAAAUUUGACAUUAUGUCGUGUUAGUAGCUAACCAUGUGUUUUACUUUUUUUCAAGGAAAUGUCGGUACGAUCUAAUGAACGUUAUGUAAUAUAGUUUACAUAAUACUUGAAAAUCAUACCGAUGCUUUAUGUAUACGAUGUUCUAUUGGGGAAUUCGCAACAUAAUGUGAAAUUAAUGGCGAACUAUAUUAUUGGUUCUCCAACAAUGCAUGAAAGUAUAUUAUACAAAUAGUUAUUGGAAUAAUGUCUGCUGCGAGUGAUGGAGACGAUAAUGAAUCAAAUACGGUAUCUGAGACUGGCCCCUCUCUACAGGCAGGGAGUAUAACAGAUACGAUUCAAACGUCGCCAAGUGGGAGUAGGGUGUUCAUUCAUAAUGACCUAGCAUCACCAUCUACUUCAUUAAAUCAGCAGACUUUGGCUGGAUUCUUCACUGGCAGCCGUCGAGGAGCUGGAAGAAGUGAUGUCUCUCACCGUACUGCACCAGUACAUUUAGGACCAGCCCCACCUUUACCUGUGUUCAAUAUCUCAGAAAACCCAGGUCCUUCAAGUAUAGUGAAUUUGGAUAGAGGAGAUGGAGAGAUUUCUGAGAACAGAGGUGACAGGUCACCUGAAGUGAUUUCCAGUGAGGGGGAAGAUUCAAGGUCAUCAAACCAAGACGUGGAAAUUGUUUCUGACCCUGAAGAAGAAAACUCCAACCCACCAGUAGCUGCUCCUCUGGUAGUGGAAAAUGCAGAGGUUCCUGGGCAAGAAGCUAUACCUCAAUUACCUGUGACUGAUGUUCAGAAUACCGGUAGUGCUCAAGCAACCUCCCCGGGUCCGCAGCUUGAAACACCUGCAGCCUCCAAUAUACAGCUAAUUCAGGCUUCAACCAGUUCCCCUUCAGACUUCAGAACUCCAAAGCGUCGACGAGUGAUGUCUACUCCAGACAAGCCUAAAGGAGCAAGUGAUCAUCAAGAAAAUGAUGAUGAAGACGGAAAUAGCUGCCCAAUUUGCUUUGAGGAAUGGUCCACCUCUGGAUCUCACAGACUUGCAUCUUUAAGAUGUGGUCAUUUAUUUGGACAAAGUUGCAUUGAAAAAUGGCUGAAGGGUCAGGGUGGUAAAUGUCCCCAAUGUAACUGUAAAGCCAAGAGACAAGACAUCAGGGUUCUUUAUGCCAAAUCACUGAAGGCUGUCGACACUACGGAGCGUGACAGGGCAUUACAAGAGUUGGAGAAAGAGAGAGAAGUUCGAAGAAAGGUGGAAAUGGAAGCUGCACAGUGUCGUUUACAGUACCAGCUAGCCAUAGAGGAGUGUAACAGACUGAAGACAGAGCUAGACAAAGUCAAACGCCAGCUACAAACUAGCAGAUCUGAUGCUAGCUCUGGUUCAGCGCCAUCCCAAUCGCAAGUCCGAGAUGUUAACGGUCACUUUGUGUUGGACAAAACUAUCAAGAUCUGGGAGGCUGGAAACUGCAGGGUCAUGUCCUACUCCCCCUCCCUGGCCACUCUGGUUGUCUCCCAGCCCUCAUCAAGUCCUCUAUUUCCAGGAUUUGGUUUCAAAAAGAUUAGUUGUAUGGAUUUCAAAACCUCCCAGUACUUAACUGUUCACAGUAAAGCUAUCCGCGACUGCUGCUUCCACCCGUUUGUGGAUGACGGAAUACUCCUGAGCUGUGGAUUGGAUAAAACAGCCAAGAUGACAAGUGUCAUCAGCAAUACUGUUGUACAGACAUACAAUCUCUCCAAUCCUGUCUGGAGCUGUGUGUGGAACACAGAUGACAGGAAUUUUUUCUAUGCUGGACAAGCCAAUGGGAAUGUAAUGGAGUUUGACAUUCGGAACACCUCUGAGCAUGUCCAGGAAUUGAAUACUGAGGGUAUACGGUCACCAGUGGUAUCAUUACAGUACAUUCCAAAAGACAUUCAAGCUGGCUUUAGGCCAGGAGGUUUAGUCGUGGGCCAGUUGAAUAAAAUCAGCUUCUAUGAGAAGAAACAGGAUAACCAAUACAGAUUGCACAUGCUGCCACUAGAAGGUAACUUGACCAGUUUGUGCUUCGAGAGCCACACCAGACACCUGUUAGCUAGUUUCAGACCUACUUCUAAACAUCCCACCAGUAGACAUCAGGUAAAAGUAGUCAAUGAUUAUAUAGGUCAGUUAUUAAGUUAUAAUAUAAAAUCAGAUAAAUACAAUUGAAUUCAGUCGUUAAAUGGAGGGGAUUUGAAAAUUUAUGCAGACUUGAUUAUUUUGUUGUUUAAUUUCUAACAUCAAUUGUGCAAAAGAUAUUUUGAACAAUGUAUAUGUUACUUUGAGAUUCUACUUUUAUAAUGGCCAAAAAACAACAAAUCAUUUAUGACAUCAAUUUAUCAUUAAUGACAUUUUUAAUUAUUUUACAUACAUGUAUUCAACAAUACUCUAAAUUUGAUAUAUAUUAGACUGGAUGGUUGUUUUGCUGUUAAUGACCUUGACCUUUUUGAAGCUGUGUGAGAUGACCUGUGUGAACCUGAGUGUUGACCCCGCUGUCAUUGACAACGGAUGUAGCUGUCACGUGGUCCACACCUUUCAUGGCAGUCAGACACAGACAGUGCUGACCAGAGCUCUUCUGAUGACUCAUCCAGCAGAGGACAGUAGGAUGCUGGUGUGUGCCGGGGAGGAAACUUCAUCAGGGGUCCACAUCUGGGACACAUCGUCCAGUCAGCUAGUCCAGCGCCUGCCUGCAGGAGGGGUGGUGGUGGACACAUGUACCCUGAGGCUCAACCAACAAACCUACCUCGCUGCCCUCACCGAGAAAAACCUCAAAGUCUACCGCUGGUGCUGAGAAAUAUCUGGUACUUUGAUAUUGUGGCUACUGAAAAAACCUGAAAUUCCACCACUGGUGCCGAGUAAUAUCUACCACCUGUGAUUAUGGAGAAAAACCUCAGAAUCUACCGUUGAUGCUGAAGAAUAUCUGGUACUCCAAUCUUAUGAUUACCAGUUGUGUCAUGGAAUAUCUGGUACUCCAAUCUUAUGAUUACCAGUUGUGUCAUGGAAUAUCUGUUACUUCAAUCUUAUGAUUACCAGUUGUGUCAUGGAAUAUCUGGAACUUCAAUCUUGUGAUUACCAGUUGUGUUAAGGAAUAUCUGGUACUCCAAUCUUAUGAUUAAUGCUGGUGUUGAGGAAUAUCUGGUACACUUUUUGCUACUGAAAAAACCUCAAAUUCCACCACUGGUGCUAUGCUACUGUAACAUCUUUGCUGUGUUCAGACAGGGCUAGCCGGAUCUAGAGCUUCUUUCUUGCUGUUCGGGAGUACAUGUAUAAACUGUGAUAUUGACAGCGUAGUUUGACAUGAUAAUGGUCCCGUUGUGUUCAUAACAGUCAAGGUCUUUCAGGAAAACUGUUGUUGACAGUGCAAUGUGUUGCAAGGUGCGUGUGCAGUUGAUACAUUUUAUUUUGAUAUUGAAAUUGACGAUGAAUGCAUCUGUAUGUAUACUGGUAAAUGAAUAUGGUUUUGUACAUUAUGUGUUUGAAUUUUUUUUUAAAACAAAAUUUCAUGCUUAUAAAGAUAUGAGUGUACU